rnacentral:rRNA from 1 species
UACUAGAGUAGCACUCGCAUAUCAAUAAGCGGAGGAAAAGAAACUAACAAGGAUUCCCCUAGUAACGGCGAGUGAAGCGGGAAGAGCUCAAAUUUGAAAUCUUAAAGGGUUUCCCUUUACGAAUUGUAGUUUAAAGAAGUGUUUUCUGUUGAGGUUUUGGUAAAAGUUCUUUGGAAUAGGACAUCAUAGAGGGUGAGAAUCCCGUAUUUGACCUUUACUUUCAACUUUGUGAUACACUUUCAAAGAGUCGGAUUGUUUGGGAAUGCAGUCCAAAAUGGGUGGUAAAUUUCAUCUAAAGCUAAAUAUUGGCGAGAGACCGAUAGCGAACAAGUACCGUGAGGGAAAGAUGAAAAGAACUUUGAAAAGAGAGUUAAACAGUACGUGAAAUUGUCAAAAGGGAAGCGUUUGACACCAGUGUUGUUUUUCUGAAAAUCAAUUAAAGAACUGUUUAUGCUAAGCUGUUUAGACUUUAUCAGCUAACUGUUUAGUUUUGAGCUUUUCUUUAAUGCACUUUUCAGUUAACAAGUCAACAUCAAUUUCUUUUGCUGUAAAAAAGCUUGAGGAAGGUGGUUUGAGAUUCGUCUUAAGUGUUUAUAGCCUCUUGCCUAUGCAGUCGGAGAGAUUGAGGUCUGCAGCGUAGAUCCUUCGGGGCUAAAUGCAUUUGUGCUAAGUUAUAGCAUUUUAUAGACAACUUGUUGACUAUGAUUUGUCUUGUAGCUUACUCGCUUAUGUUAUUUUACCUACGCUUAGGAUGUUGAGCGCAUGUCUCUCUCUC